UACGUAGGGGGCAAGCGUUGUCCGGAAUCAUUGGGCGUAAAGCGCGCGUAGGCGGCCCGGUAAGUCCGCUCUGAAAGUCCAGGGCUCAACCCUGGAAAGCGGGUGGAUACUGCCGGGCUAGAGUACGGAAGAGGCGAGUGGAAUUCCGUGUGUAGCGGUGGAAUGCGCAGAUAUCAAGGAGGAACACCGGUGGCGAAGGCGGAUCUCUGGGACGGUACUGACGCUGAGACGCGAAAGCGUGGGGAGCGAAACGGAUUGAGAACCCGU
rnacentral:rRNA from 1 species